rnacentral:sRNA from 1 species
AACCCACAACGCCUUCCCAGUCAUCAGCUGCCUCCACCCCAGCCCCCAACCUUCCCAGGCACAUCUCCCUAACACUUCCUGCCACCUUCCGAGGCAGGAACAGCACCCGGACGGACUACGAGUACCAGCACUCCAAUUUGUAUGCCAUAUCAGCUCUUCCCAGAAGCCCUCCCUGACAGCUCCUGUCCUCCUCUGCUGGAUCCUGUGAGCACCACAGCCUCCUGUGCACCCUGAGCACAUGCCUUUCAAGGCCCUCCACCAGCUCAUUCCCUGCUGCGGGCAUGAGCCCUGCUUUCAGUUUCCCUCCCCAGUGAAUGAAUUCCCCUUGAGAGACUACGCAUAUGCUGCAAGUCCAGCCCUGCUCAGAGCCUUUCUUUGCCAAAUAAUCACCUUGUUAUUAAAGGAGCUGAUUGUUCUACUA